AUUAAUAAUUAAUAUAUUUAAUAAAAAUAAUUUUAAUUUAAUAAGUAUUUUAAUGGGGGUUAAAGUAUUUUUUAAAGAAAAAAUUUUUAAAUUUAUAGUUAAUUAGUAUUGUGAAAGAAUUUUGAAAUAUUAUGAAAAAUAAAAUUUUUAGAAAGUAAUUUUUAUUUAUUGUAUCUUGUGUAUCAGAGUUUAUUAAAAAUUUUUAAUUUAUGAAUUAAUUUCUCGAAUUUAAAAGAGUUAAAUAAUUAUUAAAGUUAUUGUAGCAAAAUUAUUUUAAAUAAUUAUUUAGAAAUGAAAUGUUAAUCGUUUUUAAAUAUAUCUAGUUUUUAUAGAAAAAAAUUUAAUUUUAAAUUUAAAAAUUAUUUAAUUAAUUUAUUAAUUAAAUAGUUACUUAAAUUUUAUAAUUUAAGGGAUAAGCUUUAAAUUAAAUUUUUAUAAUAUUAAAUUUUUAUUUUGAAAAUUUUAUAAUUUAUAUUGUUAAUAAAUUUUAUUUUGUUAUAAAUAAUUUCAUUUUUUUUAAAAUUUAAAUUUUAUUUAAUUUUUUAUAUAAAAUUUAUUUAUAAUUAUAUAAAGUUAAUUAUAAUGAUAAAAUUAGUAUAUUAUUUAAUAUUAAAUUAAAAUUAAUUUUUGAUUAAUAAUUAAAUUAAUUAAAAGGAAUUCGGCAAAUAUUUAUUUUCACUUGUUUAUCAAAAACAUGUCUUUUUGUUAUUUAAUUUAAAGUCUAAUCUGCCCACUGAUUUAUAAAAAUUGAAGGGCUGCAGUAUAUUGACUGUACAAAGGUAGCAUAAUCAUUAGUCUCUUAAUUGGUGACUUGUAUGAAAGAUUGGAUGAAAAAU
rnacentral:rRNA from 1 species